UCGACGGACUCAUAUUGAAACCUAGUGAUUUAUGAGUUAGUGGCGGACGGGUGAGUAACGCGUGGAAAACCUGCCGUAUACCGGGGGAUAACACUUAGAAAUAGGUGCUAAUACCGCAUAAGCGCACAGCUUCGCAUGAAGCAGUGUGAAAAACUCCGGUGGUAUACGAUGGUUCCGCGUCUGAUUAGCUAGUUGGCGGGGUAACGGCCCACCAAGGCAGCGAUCAGUAGCCGGCCUGAGAGGGUGAACGGCCACAUUGGGACUGAGACACGGCCCAAACUCCUACGGGAGGCAGCAGUGGGGAAUAUUGCACAAUGGGGGAAACCCUGAUGCAGCGACGCCGCGUGAGUGAAGAAGUAUUUCGGCACGUAAAGCUCUAUCAGCAGGGAAGAAAAUGACGGUACCUGACUAAGAAGCCCCGGCUAACUACGUGCCAGCAGCCGCGGUAAUACGUAGGGGGCAAGCGUUAUCCGGAUUUACUGGGUGUAAAGGGAGCGUAGACGGCAGCGCAAGUCUGGAGUGAAAUGCCGGGGCCCAACCCCGGAACUGCUUUGGAAACUGUGCAGCUUGAGUGCGGGAGAGGUAAGUGGAAUUCCUAGUGUAGCGGUGAAAUGCGUAGAUAUUAGGAGGAACACCAGUGGCGAAGGCGGCUUACUGGACCGUAACUGACGUUGAGGCUCGAAAGCGU
rnacentral:rRNA from 1 species